AGUGACGACUUGUGAGAGAAUCAUCCGUUUAGUGUAACGAAUCGCUAGCCGACGUAUUAUUGUAUAGCCAUUAUGCUUUAAAAUGCUUACUAUAAUACAAAAUGUACAGACAGCCGUUUAUCUUGAGUGACGACCAUAGACCGCGGUAUGUUAGGUCUGUGCUCAAGACAGUCAAGCUUAAUGCACUGCGUGUAUUUUGUAUUGAAAAACUUCCAGACAAUUGUUUAUCCUGAAUGACGACC